rnacentral:rRNA from 1 species
UAAACUUCCCCAAAACCCCAAAUUGUGAACGUUACCAAACUGUUGCCUCGGCGGGGUCACGCCCCGGGUGCGUCGCAGCCCCGGAACCAGGCGCCCGCCGGAGGAACCAACCAAACUCUUUCUGUAGUCCCCUCGCGGACGUAUUUCUUACAGCUCUGAGCAAAAAUUCAAAAUGAAUCAAAACUUUCAACAACGGAUCUCUUGGUUCUGGCAUCGAUGAAGAACGCAGCGAAAUGCGAUAAGUAAUGUGAAUUGCAGAAUUCAGUGAAUCAUCGAAUCUUUGAACGCACAUUGCGCCCGCCAGUAUUCUGGCGGGCAUGCCUGUCCGAGCGUCAUUUCAACCCUCGAACCCCUCCGGGGGAUCGGCGUUGGGGAUCGGGACCCCUCACACGGGUGCCGGCCCCAAAAUACAGUGGCGGUCUCGCCGCACCCUCUCCUGCGCAGUAGUUUGCACAACUCGCACCGGGAGCGCGGCGCGUCCACGUCCGUAAAACACCCAACUUUCUGAAAUGUUGACCUCGGAUCAGGUAGGAAUACCCGCUGAACUUAAGCAUAUCAAUAG